GACAACGUGGCCGAGUGGUUAAGGCAGCAGACUCAAAAUCUGCUAUCCUCUGGAUGUGCAGGGUCAUAUCCUGCCAUUGUUG